AGUGCCCCCCUUGUGGUCGGUAUACAGGUGGUGCAUGGCUGUCGUCAGCUCGUGUCGUGAGAUGUUGGGUUAAGUCCCGCAACGAGCGCAACCCUUGUCCUGUGUUGCCAGCAUGCCCUUCGGGGUGAUGGGGACUCACAGGAGACCGCCGGGGUCAACUCGGAGGAACUCGGAGGAAGGUGGGGACGACGUCAAGUCAUCAUGCCCCUUAUGUCUUGGGCUGCACAC
rnacentral:rRNA from 1 species